UACAGAGGUCCCGAGCGUUGUUCGGAUUCACUAGGGCGUAAAGGGUGCGUAGGUUGGCCUGAAAAGUUUGAUGUGAAAGCUCAGGGCUUAACCCUGAAAUGGCAUUGAAUACUGUCGGGCUGGAGGUUUGGAGGGGGACUGGAAUUCUUGGUGUAGCAGUGAAAUGCGUAGAUAUCCGGAAGAACACCGAUGGCGAAGGCAACCACCUGGGCCUGUACUGACGCUGGAGGUACGAAAGCGUGGGGAGCAAACAGGA
rnacentral:rRNA from 1 species